UAAAAAGGAAAAAAGAAGAAACGGGACAAGGGCAAGGGUCACGCAGCAGCAAAUAGAGAAAAGGGGAUUUGAUGAAAUCCUAAUAAAACAAAAAAACUUUACAAGAAUAUAGAAGAAGAAGAAGGUUUAACUCUUGGUGCUUGUUCAUAAUCCUUCUAGCGCAGCCUCUUCUCUGGUUAAAAGAGACAGCAGUUGACGCGAGCGAGGAUUUCAUUAAUUAGAGUAUACAAGUUUAUAGUUCCUGGCAAGCCCCGCACUUGUUCGUGUGGGCGGAGAGUUUAUUUAUUCGUUAUCGUCUUUCCUUAUGAACUCUUAAAGUUGCUCCAUAGUCAUUUUUAUUAGCGCCAUGAGUAUUCAUUUGUUAUAUUGGACUAGUUGCUAGCA